AUGAUUGAUAAUGAUCACUGGUGCCACAUGAGCCACAUGGAUGACUACAUUUCUGGAACUCUGAGAUCUAC
ensembl:snoRNA Gm22205 predicted gene, 22205